ACUUUUAAAGGAAAACAGUAUAUCCGA
rnacentral:tRNA from 1 species